CACUACAAGUAAAAUAGUUUUUUUGAUUUGAAAACACUCAAAAAUGAAAAAUAGCUCAUUGUACUUUAAUCGUCUGUGUUACUUGAACAAAUAUUUACUUUUAAGUUGACAGCACUCGUCCGCUUUAAGUAAUUUGAAAAAAUAGAAUGCGUGGGAACAGAUUUGUAGGCGGAUCUUCUGCCAUGGAUCUUGUGCACGUCAAGCGAAGCGACGCAUAACGGUCGACCACCAGAGAAGACACGAAAAGAAUGGGGCACAGGAGAAGAUACAACGGGACAACGAGAAGAGAAAACCGCAAUUAAACGGAUCCUCGGAUGUAAAUAUCCAACGUGCUGUGGCACUCUGUGGCCUUCCUUUCUACCUCCAUGAAGAUGAUGGCACUUUUAUAAAGACAUGGGAUGGAUCCUCGGAUGUAAAUAUCCAACAUACUGUGGCACUCCGUGGCCUUCCUUUCUACCUCCAUGAAGAUGAUGGCACUUUUAUAAAGACAUGGGAUGU